ACUCGUUUCAGUCUGCAGAAUCCAACGUAUCAUUAGAAGGGGGGAGGGGAGGUGCGUAUCUCAGUCUGUAAGUGCCUAAAACGGGAAAGACAGAACUGCUAAGUCACUGCUUACAACGAAAUGUAUCACAAAGCACUACAAGAUACCGGCGGGCAUGCUUGUCAGAAGGCCCCUCUUCGGUGCUAGCACUAUUCCACACGGUAAAUGAGCUACGUUACAAAGGUGACAUGGACUUUGUGCUUUCGGUUAAGCCUAAAGCCAUCCGACUCAAUCUUCCUUCAAGAAUGACACAUAAAUGCACUCCCAACUCAAGGCUUUUAAGAAAAUGUCAAAGGCCAAAUUGCAAGUGAACGUUAACAGGUCGAGAUCAACACUGAAUUUGGUAUCGUACUCACAGCUUAUUGAACGGAGAAAAUGAACUAAAUUAUUGAACACCAAGGCAUUCAGUACUAGUCCUUCAUUUCUUCUGCAGAUAUCCUGUCUGACGGAAUGCUUGUACAACUCAGUUUCCAGAGGGUAGCAGUGUUCUAACCACAUGGCAUCAAGACCCAACCAAGCCUCGUAUACCUGGUCGGCUAAGGCCACACAA